AUGGGAACGAGGCUGGGUGCGCGCGCGGUGUUCGCUCUGGUGCUGUGCGAGCUGCUGCUGCUGUCGCCGUCGGCGGCGGCCGACGGCGGUCUACCGCGGCGGUCGCUGCACCAGCCCUUCUUCCCGAUCGGAUGGUCCCCGCCGCCGCCGGCGUCUGCGGAUGUUGCCGCGCCGCCGCCGCCGGCUGCCGCUGCGGCCGCGACCUCGAGCCCCGCGCGGUCCUCGCCCAGCGUCACCAACAUCGUCGCGAUCGCGCUCACCGCGGGCCUCGUCGCGCUCGCGGUCGUCUCCUACUCCUGCGUCCUCCUGUGGCGCCGCGUCGCGGAAGGCGCGGAGGACGACCGUGCCGCCGCGAAGCCGGCGGGGGCCCUUGCCGCGAGAAUUCCGAGUGAUGCCGGAAGCAGCGCCCGGCACCAGGCGUCGCCGCCGCCCAGCUCCACGGCGUCGGACGCGAUAUACCUGGACCCUCUCACGGCGGUGAUGGAGGUGCGCCACCACCGGUCCAGCCCUGACCUGCGCCCUCUCCAGCUGCAGAAGCAGCCGAGCCCUGACCUCCGCCCGCUGCCGCCGCUGAAACGGAUGGGCGCACAGCCGACGCCGCCGCCCGCGGCCACGCCGCCUAUGACCGGCACGGAGUGCUCCUCCUCCGACGAGGACCAGGCAACGUUUUACACCGCGCGGAAGACCAACAUGUCUUCAUUCAGCCGGAGCACGAGCCAGCGCAGCACCAUUCUGGAGCAUGCAGUGCCGCCGCCCGUGGCGCCUCCACCUGCUCCCGCGCCGGUGCCGGUGCCGCCGCCGCCCGCUCCAGCGCCCGCGGCGCCGCCACCGCAAGCGAAUCGCCUACGGCCUCCUCGUCCGCCGCCGUUGCCGCGGCAGAGACUGCUGCGGCCGAUGCCCGCCGAGUCGCCCCCUCCUGCCGCCCUGGCAAAUUUAGCGCUGACCAGUCCCCCUGAAACCUCUGUCCAAGACAGAGAAGCCGGGAGCUCUGCCGUCCAGCCGGACGGAAGCACCCGGCCGCCCAGCCUGAAACCGCUGCACUGGGACAAGCUCCGGGCCAUCUCCGGCCGCACCACAGUCUGGGACCAGGUCAAGAAUUCCGACUCAUUCCGCGUGGAUGAGGCGGCAAUGGAGAACUUGUUCCCCCAAAACAGCGCCGCCGCCGCGGCGAAUUCCGGUCAGACGGCAGCGAGAGGAGGUCCAGGGAAGCAGCACAGCCGGCUGCUCGACCCAAAGAGGCUGCAGAACGUGGCUAUCAUGCUCAAGGCGCUCAAUGUGACCGCGGACGAGGUGAUCAGAACACUCAUGCACGGAAAUCUGGAAGAUAAGCCUGAGUUGUAUGAAACACUAGCUAAGAUGGCACCAACAAAAGAAGAAGAGUUAAAGCUGAAAGAUUACAGCGGUGACUUAUCAAUAAUUGAUCCAGCAGAGCGCUUUCUAAAAGAUGUCCUUAAUGUUCCUUUUGCCUUCAAGAGAGUGGAUGCAAUGCUUUACAGAGCAAACUUUGAUGCUGAAGUGAAUUAUUUAAGGAAAUCUUUUGGAACUAUGGAGGCAGCUUGUUCAGACCUAAGAAGCAGCAAUCUAUUCUUGAAGUUGCUGGACGCUGUUCUCAAGACUGGGAACCGCAUGAACGACGGUACCAAUCGAGGCGAGGCGAGGGCCUUCAAACUCGACACGCUUCUAAAGCUCGCCGACAUCAAGUCGACCGACGGUAAAACGACACUGCUCCACUUCGUGGUUCAAGAGAUCAUCCGGUCAGAAGGCUUCGACUCCGACCAAGCAGAAAGCAAUCCUGGCACUGGCAGUGCCAGCAAAGAACGGUUCAAGAAGGACGGCCUGAAAGUGCUGGCAGGGCUCAGCAGCGAGCUCUCAAACGUGAGGAAGGCGGCCACGCUGGAGAUGGACACGCUGAGCGGCAACCUGCUGAGGCUCGCGACCGACCUCGAGAAAGUGAGGCUGGUCUUGCAGCUCAGGGAGACGUGUGCCCGUCAGGAAAGCUCCGGCGCGAAGUUCUUCGAGUCGAUGGAUGUUUUCCUCAGAAGGGCGCAGGCGGAGAUCGGGAGCAUGAAGGUGGCGGAGAGGAGCGCAUUGCAGCGCGUGAAGGAGACCACGCAGUACUUCCAUGGCGAUGGCAACAUGGAGGAGCCUUCUCAGCCUCUGAGGGUGUUCAUGGUGGUGACAGAGUUCCUGUUGAUACUGGACCGUGUGUGCCGGGACGUCGGCAGGACGCCGGAGCGGGUGAUGAUGGGGUCCGGUAAGUCGUUCCGCGUCAGCGCCGGCACCUCGUUGCCGCCUCGCCGGUAUGAGACGCGGCCGCUUAGCUCGUCCGACGAGGACAGCUCGUCGUCGUAG
rnacentral:rRNA from 1 species